GGGUGGGUUGGCUCAGUGGUUAGAGCGUAGGCCUCGUAACUGAAAGGUCGGGGAUUGAAUCCCGCUAGGCCA
rnacentral:tRNA from 1 species